GAUGAACGCUGGCGGCGUGCCUAAUACAUGCAAGUCGAGCGAACAGACGAGGAGCUUGCUCCUCUGACGUUAGCGGCGGACGGGUGAGUAACACGUGGAUAACCUACCUAUAAGACUGGGAUAACUUCGGGAAACCGGAGCUAAUACCGGAUAAUAUAUUGAACAGCAUGGUUCAAUAGUGAAAGACGGUUUUGCUGUCACUUAUAGAUGGAUCCGCGCCGCAUUAGCUAGUUGGUAAGGUAACGGCUUACCAAGGCAACGAUGCGUAGCCGACCUGAGAGGGUGAUCGGCCACACUGGAACUGAGACACGGUCCAGACUCCUACGGGAGGCAGCAGUAGGGAAUCUUCCGCAAUGGGCGAAAGCCUGACGGAGCAACGCCGCGUGAGUGAUGAAGGUCUUCGGAUCGUAAAACUCUGUUAUUAGGGAAGAACAAAUGUGUAAGUAACUAUGCACGUCUUGACGGUACCUAAUCAGAAAGCCACGGCUAACUACGU
rnacentral:rRNA from 1 species